AAAGAUUUAGUUAAACAAAAAUAACAUUAACUUGUCAAGUUUAAAUUAUCAAAUAAAGAUAAUCUUUA
rnacentral:tRNA from 1 species